AAUAUUGGGACAUAUAAAAAAAAGAUAACUCUGUUCCGCAGAGUAGCUGUUGACAUUAUAGUUGCGCAGACACUUUGUUGACUCUAGAGAACCUCGGGCCAAUCGCACAUCCCCGUGGCGGCAACUUUGCAUGCGGAUGUCAUCCAUAUCAACUUUCUAUGCCAGUUUCUGCUCCUACCAUGGUGACCACGGAUAGCGGGAAUCAGGGUUCCAUUCCGUACAGGGACCCUGAGAAACGGCUGCCACAUGCAAGGAAGGCAGCAGGCGCGCAAAUGACCCACUCCUGACGCGGGAAGCUAGUGA